UUCUAGGGCCACGCCACUCUGAUCCUGCCGUAUCUCUUCUGAUCUAAGACACUUAGCAGGGACAGGCUGACCCGCUGAGUAAUUGGAUGGGAGGCCACUGGGGAAUGUCACGUGCUGUAGGCU
rnacentral:rRNA from 1 species